UUGUAUUACAUACUUGAUACCCGUAUGUAGAAAUGACUUGUCGACAAUCAUGGCGGUAAUGUUUAUAAAGGAAACGAAAAUGGAAAUUCUUUUAAACCAAGAGGACUAUUUUUAAAGUUUAAAGAUAUACUGUCCAUUUUUAUUUGAUUCAAAUCCAGUGAAUUUAUAACUUGGUAAAGAUCUGUGUCCAGUAAAUGUGAUCCUUGUCCAGUCAAUGUGAUCCUUGUCCAGUCACGUUACUAUUGUAGAUGCUUUUGAUGAUGGCACAACCUCACUUAUAAAUUAGACUGACCUCAGAGGUCUGGGAAAGUGCAAUAGAUGUUCUGGUGUUCGAUGGAAAGAGUCCCACCCUGUUUGUAGAAUACAUUUGUACCUCAUUUAGGCUAUAAUGGAGGAUUGGAAUAGUGUAAGAUUUACUUAAUAGUCUCCUUGCCAUUUGUUGUUUUGUUCCCCAUUAUUGUACAAUUAGUUUUAGCCGCUAUAAUGGAGGAUUGGAAUGAGAAACUAACUACAGCUGCUACGUAUGGAGAUAUAGAAGCCUUAAAAUUAAGCCUACAGAAUGGUGCAGACAUUGAUUAUCGAGAUGUAAG